CCUACGGGGGGCUGCAGUGGGGAAUAUUGGACAAUGGGGGCAACCCUGAUCCAGCCAUGCCGCGUGUGUGAAGAAGGCCCUCGGGUUGUAAAGCACUUUCAGUGAGGAAGAACGCCUGGUGGUUAAUACCCAUCAGGAAAGACAUCACUCACAGAAGAAGCACCGGCUAACUCCGUGCCAGCAGCCGCGGUAAUACGGAGGGUGCGAGCGUUAAUCGGAAUUACUGGGCGUAAAGCGCGCGUAGGUGGCUUGAUAAGCCGGUUGUGAAAGCCCCGGGCUCAACCUGGGAACGGCAUCCGGGGUGGGCAGAUAGAGGGCAGUAGAGGAAGGUACGAGUCGCGGGGGCAGCCGUCCUUGCGUCGAGACGGGGAGGACUAGCAGUGGCAGAGGAGGCCUUAUGGACUGACACUCACACGGGGGUGGGUACCGGUGGGUAGCACGAAGGACUAGAUCGACGGCUGGGC
rnacentral:rRNA from 1 species